CGCUAAGACUGUCCCUUAGGUCCCCCUCUACCCUAUGUAUGCGAAUGAUUUUCCAACUCCAAAGGAAAAUGUGGAAAAACUAUGUAAAUGUAAGAUUUUCCAAUUUUUUUUAUCUUCAUUUCGCUAUUUUGAAUCACCCUCAAAAAUGUGCAACCUAAAAAUACAUCUAAUAUGUUGCAUUUUUAAUGCUCUUUCACAUGGUACCAUGAUUUCCCGGAAAAUCGCAUGGGAAAAUGGUGAAAAAUCAAUAAUUCUUCAAAAAAAAAUAAUCGAAUUAUUUUGGGAGAAGAAACCUGUCAAAUGUUUUUUCAUCAUUAACAUUUAAAACGUUUGACGAAGUUUGUUUACAAUAUUUUGUUGAGUUUUGUUUACAAUUUCUUUUUUUUGAUAAAUCCGGCGCCGGAGUACCCAAUGGUGAAGUCCGGGGUGCCCCAAAGUGGUGCCCCAUAGUGGUGACCAGGUGCUCCAUAAGUUUCAAGAAGUGUGAAAAUGUAAAAUAGAUAAAAUGGCAUAAGAAGAAUCUGAGGACACAGUCAUCCAUCACCUGACCACAAACUCUUUUAAGGCAUUAGCGGAGUCUUCCGGCAGAUUUUCAAUCUUCGAACUGAAGUGACUUCCCAUGAUCUCUACAGAGAAAGACUCAUCGCUCAUUCACAGAGCUUCUACUUCCGGUGCCCCAUCAGGUGACUUCCAGUGAAAUCCCCAAAUAAAGGUUCAUCGCUCUCCUGAAGAAAGGAAGUGGUUUUUGUGCGUGCUGCGUGCCCCCGUCAGAAGUAUUCUAGUAGGCACUGCUUUUGGCGAGGACCAAGACGGGUAAUUGUUGAGUCUCCAGGCACAUUUUUACAUUCCACAACACGGGGAAAGAGCCACAAGGUCAAGGUCACAGAAAAAGUGUGGAUUCAAUUGUUUUAGCUUGUUCUUCCGGUGCUUUCAUACAUGGAGUGACUUCCCGUGAUAUCCAUAAAUAAGAACUCAUCGCUUUCCAGAAAAGGGAAUUAGUUUUGGCAGAUGCCCCCGUCAGAAGCAUUCUUAAGUCAUUUCUUAUCAUGAGGAUAAAGAUGGACUAAUUCUUGAGUCUCCGGGCAUCCUUUCACGUUCCGUAAUACAGAGAAAGAGUAUUCAGGUCACAGAAAGAAGUGGAUUCAUUUUCUUUCUUCUUCUUCCGGUGCUUCCAUACAUGAAGUGACUUCCAAUGAUCUCUACAAAUCCACAAAUGAAGUUCAUCGCUCUCCAGAAAAAAGAAUUAGUUUUGGCAAGAGUUUUGGUGGGUGCCCCCGUCGGAAACAGUCUCAGACCGGAAAAAUGUAACAUAGCUACAAUAAAUGACUGAUUUUUUUUUUAUA